AUCGAACGCUGGCGGCAGGCCUUACACAUGCAAGUCGAACGCUCCGCGACGGUCGCGGCGUACCGGUGGGUAACGCGGGGGCUUAUGCCUCUUGCUUCACACUAGUUUCGGGAAAAAGGGGGUUAUACCUGAUAUGCUCCUUGGUGGGAUGUUUUGUUGGCGACGGAUUAGCCCGCGUUGGUUUCGGUGGUUGGUUGGGUGAUGGGCUACCAAUCCGACGAUACAUAGCUGGUGUGAGAGGAUGAUCAGCCACACUGGGACUGAGACACAGCGGAGACUCCUGCGGGAGGCGGCAGAGGGUAAUCUUAGACAGUGGGGGCAAGCCUGAUCGAGCCAUGGCGCGUGAGUGAUGAAGGCAUUAGGGUUGUAAUGCUCUUUAAGCUGGGGAGAUAAUGACGGUACCUGCAGAAGAAGCCCCGGCUAACUCCGUG
rnacentral:rRNA from 1 species